rnacentral:lncRNA from 1 species
GUUUGUGUUGAUUAAUAGUUUUGUAUUAAAUAUUGUUAACAUCAGAGACAUAUAAUACAUAAUUGUAUUAUAUGACUCUGUUAACAUAAACUUAUUCCUACGAAAAUGGUUAUUAUUGACCGCCAUUGGAUUUUUGAACUUUUUAUAGUUUCGAAUAGGUUGUUUUUUCAUGAAAUUAAAAGAAUGUCAAAAAAUCAUUGUUUAA